rnacentral:lncRNA from 1 species
AUCAUCCAAUAGCUGAAUAGGGACAACAAUAAUGGCCCAGGUGAGAAACAUUGUUGGAGCUCUAUUCAUAGUGACCCUCAUCCUAGGAGCCCCAUGUGUGCUAGCAGGAGAAUUGCUGACAAGGUCAGCACGGUAGUUGCCAAGGCAGAUGACUACAACAAGCAAUGUGAGGGUAAGGGGACGCCUGCCGACAUCGAUCAUUGCAAGAAGUGUAGUGUAACACCCAAAAUCUGUAUUUUAAUUAAUUGGAAUUAAUUUGAUUUAUAUAAUAUUUUUGUGAGCAUUUAAAUUAGUAAAUAAAUAAGUUUGGUGGAAAUUAAAAUUUAAUAUAGGGAUAGGAACUUGAUUAUGCAUUCAUGCUGGAGCAUAGUGUUUUUGUGCUGUUUGUUUUGAUUUUAUUUUAUCUGUUUUUGCUUCAAAACUCCUUUGGAAAAAGAAUUGAAAAAGAAACUAAAAAGAAAAGAAAGGGGAAAACCCCUGGAAACUAGGCCGAGGCCCAGCCCCCGUUUCUCCCCCGUGACCAAGCUUUCCCCCUCACUCGGCCCACUCCCUCUCCCGGCCCAACUCGUUGCGGCCCAAGCCGAGCAGGCCGCGCGCGUCCCUCCUCCCCUUUCCCUCUCUGGCCGACAGCUAGGCCCCAUUUUCUUCCCUCGCUGCCACGCGGGACCCACCGAAGCGGCACCUUCCCCUUCUCCUUCCUCGCUCGUGUCCGAGUUGGACUCCUCCCCCGGCCGAAUCCAAUCCCUGGAAAACCGAGGUUUCUUGCCAAGUGCGCAAACCAAGGCCCUAUAAAGCUCCUACGACCCCGCCGUGACCCUCUUUUGCUGUUAGUUGCAUCCCGGGAGCCCUAGCCGCCACAUAUCAAAUCUUGUCGAGGUCGGUUUUGUUCUCCUCCGCGGUGAGAGUCCCCUGCUCCUUCCCGGGCCAAGCCGAACCCCUUGGUCAGCUCGCCUUUUCCUCCUCGGCUCGCCUGUGUGCUCGGUUUAGCUUUUGGUGCUUGGAAAUGCCUUCUUCGCGUGCGCCGGUGAGCUUCACGGUGGUGCUCAUGGCGCGCCACCGUGCCGGAGCUUUGGGAGGUGGCAGGCCGACCGAUGUGGCCGCUGGACGGAUCGGGAGCCAUCCGAUCGGAGAUCAACGGUCGAGAAAAGAAGUUACCUGUUCGCUGCGAUAUUUCUUAAAGAGACCCUGAAUUUUUGGAGAAUCCAGCCGCGGUCCUUCGCGCGUUUGCGGGUUGCGCUUUUCAGUUUGGAAGACGUAUUUUCAGUCGGCUUAAGUUAAAAUAUGUUUUCAGUUAUUCACAUAUUUGCCACUAAAAGUAUUUUGCUCAUAAAAUAUUCGUUUUAACUCCGUUUUUGUCCAUUCAAAUUUCGUUAGAUUCAUAUUUACGAGCUCUACAUGUUAGAAGUAUUAAUUCACUGUUUUGAAAAAUUUUAUUUUCACAGUAGCUUUUAAUUAAUUAUUUAUCUAUAGGAAAUCUUAGAAAAUUCAUAACUUCUACGUUUUAAUUCCGAUUUUCGUGAACUUUACGUUUGUGUGAUCGUAGCGCUGCGUAAAAAAUAUUUUUAUAAACUUUUAUCUUUGAUUUCUCCAUGUUGGUGUAAUGUUCUAAUUAUAGUUUGUUUGCUUUGUGUAUGAUUGUCUACAUUGGAUUGCAUGUUGUUGAUUGAUGUUUGGGAAUAGACGGUGAGCCAUACAUUUGUGACCAAGAUCAAGCUUUUGAAGACCAGCAGCAGGCUCAGGAGAGCUUUGAUCAAGGCAAGUAUAACUUGGGAUCAUCCUUGUAACCUAUACACUUAUAAAUACACAUAUAUAUCAUAUGCAUGUUUCCACCUUGACGACCUUAGCAAAAUCAUAGAUGUUUAUUACCUGGAUUCCUUGUUACCUACUUGAUAUGCAUUUGGUAUAGUUGUGCUAGUGCUUGUUAUAAUCCAUGAUCCUCUAAGAUGAUUAAUAACUAUGCAAUGAACAUAAAAGGAUGACAAAUGACUAUAUGAGAUCUUGUCUGUACGUGAUCACCCGGGAUAACAGUGCAACCAUGAGGGCUAUAAUGGCUCUGGCUUUAGCUCAGUAUGAAGACCUUUUCUAGCUUGUUAGAGGUUACCUGUAAGGACGCUAGAGGGGCUUGCCGACACGGGUAUAGUGCGAGCCUCUGUCCUUAUGUGUAUAGGCUGCGCGUCAUUGUGCUAUUUGGAAGGGGGGCAUCUAUAUCUGCUCGCCCAGGAAACCUUGCGUCCCUAACAUGUUGGACAAACUUUUGAAAGGCUUCAUAGUGAUCCCUGCCGACCUCCCUAGGAAGGGGGUUAAGAGAUUAGCUACCUCAGGCGAAAGGGUAAAUCAUGACUCAUGGGUAAAGAUGUACAACCUAUGUAGAGUGUUAAAAACUAGUAUACUAGCCGAGCUCACGGUCAGGAGCGGUCUUGGGGACAUCUACACUAAGAUGAUGAGCUUAUUAUGUUAUUAUGUUCAUUUGAUUAUCAUUUAUGCUAUGAGUUAAUUAUGCUUACAUCUGAUCAUGUGAUUAUUGGAUUAUUUAUGCUACAUUGACACUUGCUGUUUAAUUAUGAACAUGCUAUCCACCAUUAAAAGCUAAAUGUAGUCAAACCAGUGUCAGCUAAUUGAGCCUCAUGGACCCCUGGUUAUACUUGUUGAAUACGAUAUGUGCUCACUCUUGCAAUUUCCCAACACCCCAGGUUAUGCUAAUGAUGAUGAUUGGAACGAGGACUAUCGCUAUGAGUAUUAGGUUUGAAGUCAACUAGUCAAUGUUGUCCCUAUGUGGAGCUUCCGUCGAGAGCGUUG